rnacentral:rRNA from 1 species
CAACGGCCGCGGUAUCCUAACCGUGCGAAGGUAGCGUAAUCACUUGUUCUUUAAAUGAGGACUAGUAUGAAUGGCACCACGAAGGUUAUACUGUCUCCCAUUUCCAAUCAGUUAAACUAAUCUUCACGUGAAGAAGCGUGAAUAAUUAUAUAAGACGAGAAGACCCUAUGGAGCUUUAAAUAACUGCAACAUGUGUUUUUAUUAUUUAACUUCAUGAAAAAAUUUUUAUUUAAACACUUUGAUUGCUAAUUUUUGGUUGGGGUGACCGCGGAGCAUAAAAUAACCUCCACAAUGAAAGAAAAAUAUUUUCUAAACCUAGAGCUACAACUCGAAGUAUUAUUAAAUUAACAUCCUUUGAUCCAAUAUAUUGAUCAACGAACAAAGUUACCCUAGGGAUAACAGCGCAAUCUACUUCAAGAGCUCCUAUCGACAAGUAGGUUUACGACCUCGAUGUUGGAUCAGGGUGUCCUAGUGGUGCAGCCGCUACUAAAGGUUCGUUUGUUCAACGAUUAAAACCCUACGUGAUCUG